GGGGGGGGGGCUAGGAUGAAAUUUGAAAAAAAUAGGCAGGACAGGAGUUUUGAGUAAAAAAAAAGGCAGGAUGAGUCACUUGCAAAAAAAAAAAGUCAGGACUACAAUUAAGGUAAUAAAAAGUCAGGAUAAACUAAAAAAAAAAAAAAAAAAAAGCAGGACCGAACAGAGUGAAAAAUAAAAAGGCAGGACAAAGAUUGCAGCUAAAAAAAUGCAGGACAAAAUUUUUCAUCCUAGCCCCCCCAUAAAAAUCAAAUGGUAGCUCCCUUAUUAGAU
rnacentral:lncRNA from 1 species